rnacentral:rRNA from 1 species
AACGAACGCUGGUGGCAGGCCUAACACAUGCAAGUCGAACGUGAAGCCACCUUCGGGUGGUGGAAAGUGGCAGACGGGUGAGUAACGCGUGGGAACGUGCCUUUCGGUUCGGGAUAACCCAGGGAAACUUGGGCUAAUACCGGAUACGCCCUCCGGGGGAAAGAUUCAUUGCCGAAAGAUCGGCCCGCGUCGGAUUAGCUAGUUGGUGGGGUAAAAGCCUACCAAGGCGACGAUCCGUAGCUGGUCUGAGAGGAUGACCAGCCACACUGGGACUGAGACACGGCCCAGACUCCUACGGGAGGCAGCAGUGGGGAAUAUUGGACAAUGGGCGCAAGCCUGAUCCAGCCAUGCCGCGUGGGUGAAGAAGGCCCUAGGGUUGUAAACCCCUUUCAGCGGGGAAGAUAAUGACGGUACCCGCAGAAGAAGCCCCGGCUAACUCCGUGCCAGCAGCCGCGGUAAUAC